GACGAACGCUGGCGGCGUGCCUAAUACAUGCAAGUCGAACGAAGCUGUUUUAACUGGUGCUUGCACCGACUUAAAGAACUGAGUGGCGAACGGGUGAGUAACACGUGGGUAACCUGCCCCAAAGCGGGGGAUAACAUUUGGAAACAGAUGCUAAUACCGCAUAACCACAGAAACCACAUGGUUUCUGUGUCAAAGAUGGUUUCGGCUAUCACUUUGGGAUGGACCCGCGGCGUAUUAGCUAGUUGGUAAGGUAAUGGCUUACCAAGGCAAUGAUACGUAGCCGAACUGGGAGGUUGAUCGGCCACAUUGGGACUGAGACACGGCCCAAACUCCUACGGGAGGCAGCAGUAGGGAAUCUUCCACAAUGGACGAAAGUCUGAUGGAGCAACGCCGCGUGAGUGAAGAAGGUUUUCGGAUCGUAAAACUCUGUUGUCAGAGAAGAACGUGUGCGAGAGUAACUGUUCGUGCAGUGACGGUAUCUGGCCAGAAAGCCACGGCUAACUACAUGCCAGCAGCCGCGGUAA
rnacentral:rRNA from 1 species